UCUCCUCUCCAUUGAUUGCUUUGUUUAUUUGCUUACUUUUUAUUCAAGUUAUGUAUUAUGUUAUUAUUCUUUAUUUGUGUUCUAAUUUUGUGCCAGUAUAAUUUUUGACAAUCACACUAGUUGACGUUUAUUCUAAUUAGUUCAUCUACCCUUCAUUCAAGAUUUGAUAGAAUCCAUCCUGGUAUAGUUGUUAGUGGGAGAUCUCAAAAAUUCAUAUAUUUCAAUUCAAAUUAUCCUUUACUAAACGUCGGUGUAUUAUUCAAUUCAAAUUAUCUUUACUAUACAUCGGUGUAUAAUUUUUAUUACAUGUGAUCCAAAAAAAGCUUAUAUUUUGACCAUUGGAAGAUAUAGCUAUAUGGGUGAUGUUACCAACUUGAACAAG
rnacentral:misc_RNA from 1 species